rnacentral:rRNA from 1 species
ACAUGCAGGUCGAGGGGAGCAUAGUCUUAGCUUGUAAGACUGAUGGCGACCGGGCACGGGUGCGUAACGCGUAUGCAACUUGCCUCACAGAGGGGGAUAACCCGUCGAAAGACGGACUAAUACCGCGUACACUCUAUGUUGGGCAUCCAAUGUAGAGGAAAUGAAAUUCGCUGUGAGAUAGGCAUGCGUCCCAUUAGCUAGUUGGUGAGGUAACGGCUCACCAAGGCGACGAUGGGUAGGGGAACUGAGAGGUUGAACCCCCACACUGGUACUGAGACACGGACCAGACUCCUACGGGAGGCAGCAGUGAGGAAUAUUGGUCAAUGGGCGAGAGCCUGAACCAGCCAAGUCGCGUGAAGGAUGACUGUCUUAUGGAUUGUAAACUUCUUUUAUACGGGAAUAACAAGAGUCACGUGUGGCUCCCUGCAUGUACCGUAUGAAUAAGCAUCGGCUAACUCCGUGCCAGCAGCC